UUAAAAAUUAGAGAAACCCUAUUCCGGUGCAUGACUCAGGGUAUUGAAGUAGCUAUCGCUUGGAUACCUGGGCACAGUGGUAUCAUUGGUAAUGAGUGUGCAGAUUCCUUUGCUAAGGAUGCCGUUGGCUUGGGCCUGGAUACUCAUUACCAAAAUUUUGCCCACGACCUUGCCUCGCUCGCAGGAUCGAGGCUGGACAGAUCCUGGAAUGUGUCUUGGGACACUUCCAGGAACAUCAAAGGUUUUAACUGUACAUAUAGUCUAAAAUAACCGUAACGACUGCUUUUCAAUACCGCGAGCAUUGGUCACGUGACUCUGGCCCAGUUAGCCGUGUUAGUCACACACGGCAAAGAGCCAUUCAUCCAAAA